rnacentral:rRNA from 1 species
GACGAACGCCGGCGGCGUGCUUAACACAUGCAAGUCGAACGGUGAACCGGGCUUCGGCCCGGGGAUCAGUGGCGAACGGGUGCGUAACACGUGGGCAACCUGCCUCAGACUCUGGGAUAACCCCGGGAAACCGGGGCUAAUACCGGAUACUCCGACCGGACUGCAUGAUCCGGUCGGGAAAGCUCCGACGGUCUGAGAUGGGCCCGCGGCCUAUCAGCUUGUUGGCGGGGUAACGGCCCACCAAGGCAACGACGGGUAGCUGGUCUGAGAGGACGACCAGCCACACUGGAACUGAGACACGGUCCAGACUCCUACGGGAGGCAGCAGUGGGGAAUCUUGCGCAAUGGGCGAAAGCCUGACGCAGCGACGCCGCGUGGGGGAUGAAGGCCCUCGGGUUGUAAACCCCUUUCGGCAGGGACGAAGCGAACGUGACGGUACCUGCAGAAGAAGUCCCGGCUAACUACGUGCCAGCAGCCGCCGUAAUAC